UUCCGGUUGAUCCCGCCGGAGGCUACCGCUAUUGGAGUUCGAUUAAGCCAUGCGAGUCGCGAGUCUUAGGGACUCGGCGUACCGCUCAGUAACACGUGGGUAACCUGCCCUAUGCUGGGGGAUAACCUCGGGAAACUGAGAAUAAUACCCCAUAGUUCACCACGCCUGGAACGGUGGGUGGACCAAAGCUCCGGCGGCAUAGGAUGGGCCUGCGACGUAUCAGGUUGUAGGGGGUGUAACGUACCCUCUAGCCAUCAACGCGUACGGGUGUUGGGAGACAUAGCCCGGAGAUGGAUUCUGAGACACGAAUCCAGACCCUACGGGGUGCAGCAGGCGCGAAAACUUGGCAAUGCGAGCAAUCGUGACCAGGGAACUCCAAGUGGCUGGGGUAAUACCCAGUUUUUUCUUGACUCUUCAAAGGUCUUGGAAUAAGGGGUGGGUAAGGACGGUGCCAGCCGCCGCGGUAAUACCGGCGCCUCAAGUGGUAGUCGCUUUUAUUGGGCCUAAAACGUCCGUAGCCGGUCUGGUACAUUCGUGGGUAAAUCAACCCGCUCAACGGGUUGAAUUCUGCGAGCACGGCCAGACUUGGGACCGGGAGAGGUGUGGGGUACUCUCAGGGUAGGGGUAAAAUCCUGUCAUCCUGAGAGGACCACCUGUUGCGAAGGCGCCACACUAGAACGGAUUCGACGGUCAGGGACGAAACCUAGGGGCACGAACCGGAUUAGAUACCCGGGUAGUCCCAGCUGUAAACGAUGCAGACUCGAUGAUGCAUUGGCAUAAUAGCCAGUGCAGUGUCGCAGGGAAGCCGUUAAGUCUGCCGCCUGGGAAGUACGUACGCAAGUAUGAAACUUAAAGGAAUUGGCGGGGGAGCACCACAAGGGGUGAAGCCUGCGGUUCAAUUGGAUUCAACGCCGG
rnacentral:rRNA from 1 species